AUGGAGAAUGGGAGCAGCCUGUCUGAUGAGGACCUGCGUGCCGAGGUGGACACCUUCAUGUUUGAGGGCCAUGACACCACAGCCAGUGGUAUCUCCUGGAUCUUCUAUGCUCUGGCCACACACCCUGAGCAUCAGAAGAAGUGCAGGGAGGAGGUCCAGAGCCUCCUGGGGGAUGGAGACUCCAUCACCUGUGACUACCUGGACCAGAUGCCCUACACCACCAUGUGCAUCAAAGAGGCCCUGAGGAUCCAUCCAUCAGUACCAGCUCUGAGCAGAGAACUCAGCAAAACCUGUCACCUUCCCUGGUGAGUGUUCCUUACCCAAAAAUAUGCCAGUCACACUCUUCACUUACACCCUUCACCACAACCCAAAGGUAUGGCCAAAGCCAGAGAUAAGAGGACCCUGGGAAGAAGGAGUGUCUGUAGCACUGAGUCACGGCAGUUUGGUGGCAAGACGCAAUCAGCCAGAAACUGCAUACGGGGAGCCUGAAUUCACCCGCUCUGGGCUCGGUGUGGGCUCUGAGGGGCACAAACUGCUCACCUUAGGUCCACCUCAGCCCAGCAUUACCAAGUGA